rnacentral:lncRNA from 1 species
AUGCUCGGGCAGGCGCCAUGGGCAAGGCUGUCUCCUUCUGGCUCUGCCAUCCUGCUGCUGGUGCUCUGGGAUCUCCGAGCUCCUGUUCUCCAAAUGAACUCAAGGUCUGCUCUGCCAGGUACAAGAAUUUUUCUCCAGUGUAUUCUCCCAGUGGUGUCACCUGUAAGACGAAUCAUCUUCUGCAAGGAUGGGAUAGAGGCGUACAGUCUGAAAGCCCAGCAAGGGCAGCUGAACUACUCCGUGGUCCUGAACAUAACAUCAAGAAGUGCAGGAAGAUAUAGAUGUGGUUACCAGGAGUGGAAUGAGUUGAAACACAGGAGGAGCUCUGCCCUCAGUGCUGGCCGCAACCUGGAUGUCCCUGGUGAGUCCUGUCCCCAGGCUGGAGGGGUGAGAAGGGAUGGAGGCACUUGCCACCACAUGGCUGUGCUGAGGCUGGAGCUGUGUGCUGCAGCAGGCAGGGCAUGGCUCUGGGGUGGUUCCCCCAUGGGAGUGUUUCCUCCAAGGCAGCCCCUAGAGAGAGAGAGUUGUUCUCAAGGGGUCCCCCUGUCCCUGCAGCACCACCUCUGCUGCAGAGAUGGGGCUCUGUAGAUCCCGGGCAGAGAGGAUGUAAAGACUGGGGAGGUUGAUGAAUGCUGGAUGAGCCAGGGAUGCUCCAAGGUCUGCCCUGUACAUUGAUGAGCCCAUGGCAGGGCAAGUGGGAUGACUGUCAUGAGUUGGGCAAGGACACAGCAGGGAGGACAUGGCAAGGGCCCAGCAGCAGGGACAUGGGCACAAGCGUGUGGGUGCCCCAGCUCUCACUCCCUCUAAACAAAACUCUCUGUGCCCCAAGGUGCAGCUGCUGACGUGACCACCCAGGACAUCUGUAGCUCCCCAGGUGAGGUUGAGCGUGGGGAUGGGUGACUGAAGAGAAGUGUGUGUGGGGUGGUGAUGGCAAGGGAGAGGGAAUUUGUUCUCUGGGCGAGAGCUCCUGGGAAGGAAUCACUUCCCUGCAUGGAACACAAAGCAUUCUGUGCCCAGUUCUGGGAUUCCCUGUACAGGACGGGCAUAGAACUACUGGAGAGAGCCCUGAGGAGGGCUACAAAGAUGAUCAGAGGACCAGAGCCAAGAGAACAGAGCCUGUAUAGCCUGGAAAAGAGGAGACUGAGGGGAGACCUCAUCCAUGUCUAUAAAUAUCUGAGGGGAGGGUGUUGAGAGAAUGGAGUUGGUCUCUUUUCGGUUGUGUCCAGGGAAAGGGCGAGAGGCAACGGGCUCAAAUUGAAGCACAGAAAGUUUCAUCUGAAUAGGAGGGGCAUUUCUUUACUGGGAGGGUGACAGAGCACUGGAACAGGCUGCCCAGAGAUGCUGUGGAGUCUCCUCUAGAGAUAUUCCAAAUCCACCCGCAUGACAUCCUGUGCAGUGUGUCCUAGCUGAUCCUGCUCAGCAGAAGGUUGGACCAGAAUCACAGACAGAUGAGAGUGGUGGUGCCAUAUUUAAUCGGCAGGUACACCUUGGCCAAGAUAUACUUAACCACUCACAAGGGAAUUUAGACAGCAGAUCCAUGGAGGCCCAUGUUGGCACAACAGCUGCUGGCACUUUUAUGUUUUCCUUG